GACAGAGGGUGCAAACGUUGUUCGGAAUUACUGGGCGUAAAGCGCGUGUAGGCGGCUCUGCAAGUCGGAUGUGAAAGCCCUGGGCUCAACCUAGGAAGUGCACUCGAAACUGCAGAGCUUGAGUCUCGGAGAGGAUCGCGGAAUUCUCGGUGUAGAGGUGAAAUUCGUAGAUAUCGAGAGGAACACCGGUGGCGAAGGCGGCGAUCUGGACGAUGACUGGCGCUGAGACGCGAAAGCGUGGGGAGCAAACAGG
rnacentral:rRNA from 1 species